rnacentral:lncRNA from 1 species
UGGGGCAGAUUUUUUGCUGCUAUUUUGUGGGGUGGGUGGUGGCUUUGAGGCCCUUAAAGCCCCUCUAAUUCCAACCUCAACACCUUCCACGAGCCCAGGUUGCUCCCAACCCCAUCCAGCCUGUCCUUGGACACUUCCAGAGAUCCAGGGGCAGCCACAGCUUCUCUCGAAACUCCCUCCAGCCCCUCCCCACCUUCUCAGCCAAAAAUUCCUUCCCAAUAUCCAACCUAAAUCUUCAUUCAGUUUAAAACACUUCCCACUUGUCAUAUCCCCAUGGAAAAAGCCACUCUCCCUCUUCUUUAAGUCCCCUGGAAGUCCUGAAAGGCCACAAAUGUGGGGGUUUUAUUUAGGAUGGGGUGAGACCCCACAAAAGCUCCAUGAUUUUUUGAUCAAGCUUUUUGAUCCCAAACCUGUAUUUAAACCACCCCUCGGCUAUCCCUGCCCUGUGAGCCCCUGGGAAUCCAUCAUUCCUUGUUUUGGGGUGGCUGCUGUGGGAUUGUCACGUGCUGGGGACACAGGGUGGCACUGGGCUGCCUCACUGGUGUGCACUGGUUCCAGCUGGCGCUGCUGAGGGAGCUCUCCAACGCGAUCCUGCGGGACAGGCUCCUGUGGACCAGCAAAACUUCCAGGGAAAACCAGGCAGCCGUGCCUGUCACCGUUCCGCUGGUGUCCCACACUUCCCGCCGUGUCCCGGCCAGCGCCGAGGUGACAGGAGAGGGACAGAGCCUGGGGCUGGAGGUGCUGCUGUCUGAAGGAUCCCCUGAGAGCUUGGCUGUGCCCCCACCACAUCCAGGAGAUCUGCAGGAAAACCAUUCCCUGGAUCUCUCUGAGCCCCUGGAGGAGAGGCUGGAAGGACAACCCCAGCAGGACACCAGCCAGGUGUGUUUUUCCAAGGAUUUCAGACCAGUGAGAGGAACUGGGAUGCAAAUCUUAAUUUUGGGAUGGCUUCUUCAUAUCCCUGGAGAACACCAGAGCUCCUGGAAUGGGCAGGAGGCUGAUGGGAGUGACCAAAAAUCCCUUGGGAAAUGCUUUGUUGGUUAAUCC